rnacentral:rRNA from 1 species
GACGAACGCUGGCGGCGUGCUUAACACAUGCAAGUCGAACGGAAAGGCCCUGCUUUUGUGGGGUGCUCGAGUGGCGAACGGGUGAGUAACACGUGAGUAACCUGCCCUUGACUUUGGGAUAACUUCAGGAAACUGGGGCUAAUACCGGAUAGGAGCUCCUGCUGCAUGGUGGGGGUUGGAAAGUUUCGGCGGUUGGGGAUGGACUCGCGGCUUAUCAGCUUGUUGGUGGGGUAGUGGCUUACCAAGGCUUUGACGGGUAGGCGGCCUGAGAGGGUGACCGGCCACAUUGGGACUGAGAUACGGACCAGACUCCUACGGGAGGCAGCAGUGGGGAAUAUUGCACAAUGGGCGGAAGCCUGAUGCAGCAACGCCGCGUGCGGGAUGACGGCCUUCGGGUUGUAAACCGCUUUCGCCUGUGACGAAGCGUGAGUGACGGUAAUGGGUAAAGAAGCACCGGCUAACUACGUG